ACGACCUUACUUGAACAGGAUCUGUUCUAUAGGCUCGUACCUCUGUGUCCUUGAGUAUCAAGGAGACAAGAUCCGCAACUUGGUUGAUGACUUAAGACCAGAUGGCCAGAGCGUGAUUAUUGGUUCGGCUGACUCAUGGUUGAGUCUGUCUGGCCGCAGAGGAUCGUUCUCAUGUAGUCUCUACAUGAGAUGGCCACUUGGUUGUCUGACAAGUU